rnacentral:lncRNA from 1 species
GGACAAUGGAAUCUUAUUCUAGCUCAUAUUCUUCAUCUAAAUCUUCAUACAUAUCCCAAAACACGAAGAAAGCAAAUGGAUCAAUGAAAAAUGAAUACCCUUUUGAAUCCAAAUAUUCUUGGCUUCACUCAGUAAGAAAGUCACCAACAAAGACAUGGAAUAAGAAGGCACCAAUAGCACCAAUGGCACCAACACCUGCCAAAGUAUACAAAGUGGAUCCAAUAAACUUCAAAGAACUUGUUCAGUCCCUCACUUGUGCACCUCAGUUCAUACCUUCACAGCCUCAUCACAAACUUGAUCUUCAAAGCACCACAAACCAUACCAUUGCCAAUGACAGUGUUCCACCUUCCCUUCCAAUGAAAAACUUCACAAACAAAGACAGUGUUGAAGUGUCCCCUCCAUUAGAGCCAGUGAGUACUACUAAUAGCUGGUAUCAGUACUUUCAAGCUGAAUAUUUUGGAAAGAAUAAUGAUCAGGAAGAGGAGGUAAUAACCCCUAGUUUGUUGGAAUUGAAUUUGCUCUCACCAACUUCUUUUGGUAACUGGUGUUUUGUUCCUCCCAUCAUCACCCCAAGAGUUUGAUUUGUUUGGAGGCUGUUCUUUUAGCCAGGCCUUUUAGAAUAGUUUCAUUUUUUUUUCUUUCUUUAAUUAUUUCUGUGUUACUGAAGUUUGAAGUGUGAAGAUAUAUAUAACGGUUUUUCCAUCCCAGCAGAUCAAUAUUCCAUUUGAAUCAUAGGCAUCGAUUAGAAUUUUAAGCUGCUGCAUGUGUAAACUACUAAACCGUUCUUGGAUAUGCUGUCUAUAUUCUAUACAUGUAAUUUUAUUUACGUGGACUACUCCAUUCAGUUAUUAAUUACAGUAGUAACAUUCAAAUUUAAUUUAACUUUUAUUUUGAUUUCAUCAAAUGCCAUAAAGACUAUAAAAACUCUUUAAUUGAUAUUCAAUUUUUUUUUUUUUUUUUUUUUUUACAAAUGAUAUUCAACAUGUUAUCUUCAACUUAUUUUCAUGAGAUACUCGUUUAAUAUUUCUUUAUUGAUAAAUUAAAUUUAAGGUGAGGGGAUGUCAAUCCAAGGUAGAAAAGACCAACGGGCUCAUAGAACGCUUACAAAUUCAUUUAUAUUUAAAUAUCCUCCUAAAUUAUAUUUAUUAGUUUGUUUCUAGAAUAAGUGACACAAAUCAGAAAUUGAUUUGUUCUUAUUAAAUGUAAUUAUUUUGAUAUUAUUGUGAUUUUCCUCCUAAAUGUAAUUAGUUUGUUCUUAUCCCAUACACAGCUUUGCUCAUAAUUUAAAUGUGACCAUUCACUAGUGAAUGGUGAGAUUUUACCCUUUAGAUUAGUCAGAUAUUGGAUCAGAUACCGAAUUUUCAUAAGAGUAACAAUUAUUUGCUCUAAUUACUUGUAUAGAUUGUAACCUCUAUAUAUAUAUACAAUCCUUCAAAAAAUAGUAUAUAUAUAUACAAGGAAAAACAACAAGGAACACAUCAAGCCAUUUUAACUGACAUGGUAUCAGAAGGUUCUUUACAAUAUAGAGAAUAAUAGAGAAUAUAAUGAAAUGUUUUUGAAUUAUUCUGAUAAGUUUUAUUAGCCUCUCUAUUUAUAGUUAGAGAUGACCGAAUACAUUAAAGAGCAAUUAUAUUCUUCAUCUAUACAUGUACUGUACAUAAGACAAUGAAUAAAAUGUACAUCAAUGUAAAUAACUAUAGUCAAACACAAAACUGAAAUCUUCAAUAAUUAUAAUCAAUUGUAGUUAUGUGCAUGUUCUCAUGGUUGACUCCAUGAUGAUUACGUAAUUACUCAAUACGCCCCCUCAAGAUGUAGUUGCCAUCAGUAACUUGCAUCUUGGACCGAAGUUCAUUGAAUGUAGCAUGAGACAAAGGCUUGGUAAGGAGGUCAGCUAUCUGAUCCUUUGUCGAGACAUGUGAGACUUGAAGCUUACCGUCUCGAACCUGCUCACGAACAAAGUGAUAAUCCAUGGCUAUAUGUUUCAUUUUUGAAUGUAGAACUGGGUUUGAGCAGAGACAUGUAGCACCUACAUUGUCACAUAAUAAUAGAGGUGGUUUCGACAAUGGUAUAUGAAGCUCUUGAAGCAAAUUUUGAAGCCACGUGAGUUCAGCAGAUGCAGUGGCUACAGCACGGUAUUCAGCCUCGGUUGAUGAUCGUGCUACAGUACGUUUGUUAUCAUGGUUUUUGGGUGCCAAGCCAUUAAUUGGACUUGUACCUUUCGACCGUUGAUAUCUCUCUUUUUUCUUGGGAAGGGAAAAAUUGAGAAAAAACCCUUAGAUUCUAAGUUCGGGGGUCGGUUUUACUACGGGAAGGUGUUAGGCACCCGGAGUAACUAUAGUCCUCUAUAGGAGCCGUUUUCCUAAGUUGAUUUCUACGCUUAUUUUUACUUACUUUUGAAAAUGGGAGAUUUAUUUAGUUAAGAAUGAGGGGAGAGAAGUUGUAAGACUUUUUAUCUUUUAGUUGAUUUGAAGAAAAUUUUAAUGUGUUGCUAUUUGAUUUUUAAAGUUUGAAAAUGAUUUUUUGAAGAAGAGAAAGGAGGCCUUAAAGGCUUGAGAAGUAAAAAUGUGAAGUUUGCCCAAUUUUACUUAAUAAAAUAGUCUAAGUCACUUAAGGUUCAUUUAGAAUUUUCUUAAGAAAGUAAAAGGAAACAUCAAAGGAGUGUUGACUCCAAAGUUCAUUUUUAAAAAAAAAGCUAGAAUUAUGGAACUUGGUUUGCUUUAUGAAAAAAAAUAUUUUCUAAGUACUCGCGUUCCCUAAUCAUACAUCUAAACGAAUGUCAUACACCGUGUGUGAGUGUCGGUGCUCGUGUCGGUGUACAUCAAUAGAGUCCAUAGUCCCUUUUACAUUGUCCUAGAUACACUCUACGGUCUUUGCAUGAAAUAUAAAAGAUAACACCUACCUAAAUAUCACAAUUCCGAAUGAAAGUAAAAAAGAAUGCAAAGAAAAUUAAACUAUGUAAAAGAAUGGAAAUGGAAUGCUAAAUGAUAUGUAUGAAGUACCAAAAUAAACUUGUUAGUAAAAAAAAACAUAACAAGUACUAAGAAAUAAAAGCAUGCAAGAUAGCACAAAAAGUUAACAAAAUGACAUUAAACCCUAAAAACUUAGGUAUGAAACCUAAUGCAUUCUUGGCCUCUAAUUCUCAUGCUUUAACAAGUUUGGAAAGAGUUUUCUUUAUCUCAAGUUAUAGCAUGGAAUUAUUGGAAACAUGCAAGCAUGGUUUCAUGCCAUAUUUUCUAGAAUAAACUUGGCAUUUUAUAUCUUUCAAAAUAUGCAUAUAUUGUUCAUAAAAUCAAGCACUCAUGAACCAAAUCAAAACAGCAAAUCAACAUGAAAUUAUAGGCACAAAUCUCUCAUAUUAACACAUCAAGUAGCUUUUAUCACAUAUUCUCACAUCAAGGACAAAUGUGUGAAGAAGAAUCCAUAACAAAUAAUUCAAAGAGAAUUAAAAUGCUAUGAAUUAAUUAUACAAAAAUUUCAUAGAUCCUUAAUGUUCAAAAAUGUCAUAAAAACACUAAGAAAAUAUCAAGAAACAUGUGAUAAUUUUUGGAGAUUUUUUGGAGAAAAUUUUAAGCAUGCAGGGGUUCAAACAGCAAAGAAAUAUGGUGCAAAUAGCAGGAAAACAAACAAAAACGUAAAAGAUCAAAGCCCAAACCAAAGGCCCAAUUCACAAAACUCAGAUUGCACAGGAGACGUUAGAUCGAUCUAGAGGCUGAGAAAGAAAGGAAAAAACCGGAAAUAAACCGGACCGGUUCAAAGCUCUAUAUAAAUGCGUCCAGUCCGGUUUUUUUCAUUUUUUUCUUUUCCUUCUCUCUCUUCUCCCCUCUAGUGAGAGAAGCUCUCACUUCUCUCUAAGAUUCCGGUCAUCUUCUCCGGUUGGCAUGGCUUUUCCGGCGCGGCGGACGGCGGUGGCGCCUCCGCGCCGGAGUUUGAAACUGCUCCGAUUCACAUUUUUUUUACGUUUUUAAACAUCCUUUUUUAUGUGUUACUCGAAUCCGAGCUUAGAUUUUUUUAAAAAAAGUUUGAAUCGGAGUAGAUCUGAGUUUGAACUUCGAUGAAACUUUGGAACAAAAACGGAAAAGGAAAGAGAGAAAGGAGUGAAGAGGAUUACCUCUUUGUUGCUUUUGGCUCACGAACGUGAUUCUUGGUUUUGGCUUGGCUUGUUGCGUUCGAAUCCACUGCUUUCUUCUUCUCCUUGCUCACGACACGUUCGUGCUUGCUUCUGUUGCUUGCGUUGUUUUGCACUGGCUUCCGUUGCUUGCGUUGUUUCGCACUGGCUUCUGUUGCUUGCGUUGUUGCGCGUUUUUCCUCUUCUUCUCCGAUUCGCGUUUUUCGUGAUCGUGCUUGAGUCCGUUGCUAACAGCGAUGGAUUCGCACUGGAAUUGCGAAAGGAACGGUUCGAUGAUGACGAUUCAAGGACGAAUCACUGAGAACUGCAGAGAAAUCUGAGAAAUCUGAGAAAUCUUUGUUGAAUUCUGGUGAAUUUGUGAUGAAUCUGUGUGUUAGGGUUUGGGAUUUUUCUGUGUUCUUGGUGAUUUUCUGUUUUCUGAUCUAACAGAAUAGAGAGAGAAAUUGAGAAAUCUGUUUGUGAUGUGGCAUAUGAUGAAUGGAUCCCCCUAAAAAAUCUGACACUGUUCCCCUUUUAUAUGCUGCCAUGUGUACCUGAACCAAUAAAAAAGUGACAUCUGGACUGGACUAAAAUUUGUGCGAAAAAUUGGACCAAAAUGCCCUUUGGGGCGCCCCUGCAAAAAAAUGAUAAUAAAAGGACUGAAAUGCAAUUUUUAGAAACUUUUGGACUGAAAUGCAAUUUUUAGAAACUUUUGGACUGAAAUGCAAUUUUGGGACCUUAAUUGAGGGACCAAAAUGUAAUAAAAAUAAAAUUUGAAUAAAAAACGCAAUUUGAUCAAACGUAAAGUGAAACCAAAAUAAAAUUGACAAAACGGACUAAAACGAACCAAUGGCCUAAAUGAGGUACUUCAAAGUAACCUCCCUACGCCGAAAUUUUGUGUGAAAUGACCAAAAUGCCCCUAGGGCUAAAAAUGACCUAAACUGACUCAAACAGACUCUGACACUGACUCAGAUGCAAGUUUGAAAUGAAUUUAAACAGGGUUUACUGAUGAAAUGUUAAAAAUGAAUUUGAAAAGACUCAGAGACAGUCACAAGGAUGAAAAUGGGUCCCACUGCAGGAAAUGACCAAAAUACCCUUCUGUAUGACUUUUUGCAAAUUUUGAAAUAAACUGUAGAAAAAGCAAUGUAAUGAUUCAGAGACACUUUUGAAUGACUUACAAGACAAGUAAAGACAUUUUGAAAGGUUUUAUGCAAGAAAAACAGAGGUAAAAAUGUGAUUGAAAACACUGCGUAGCAGAGACAAUUUGAACUGUGCAGUUGAAAUUUGAUAAUUGACAAAGUUUGAAAUGAAAUUGGGCCCAGUAUUUUUAGGUCCAAAAACAGGGUAUAACAGCUGCCCCUAUUUAAGUUUCCUUGUCUGGAGAGUCAAGAGACGGAGUCUUUGGCUUGACAGGACGAAGAUACUUAAAUAUUAACAUUUGCGCUGUGUUUGGACGUAAAAAUACGCCUAACCAUUUUCAAAUACUAUGCAUGCCAUGCAUCAUUUGGAUUAUGAAUGCAAGACCUCAUGGGAAUUGGAAUUAACAAAAGAUGUCGUAUCCAUUGCGGGAUUGGUAGACAUAGACAAGAUAACAGAUAACAGGGUAGGUAGGAGACUAGGAACAAAUUGGACAGGUACAAGCUGCUCUUGGAUUGAGCUGGGUACUUGACUGGGAAUGAAACAAACGGACAACUGCGAGCUGUUCUUAUGGAUUCGAACUGGUAACUUCACAGGGGAUAGAGGUUACUGGACAAACAUGAGUUGUUCUUAUGGAUUCGAACUGGUAACUCACUUGGGGAUAUUGGAAAGUGCGAGCUGUUCUUAUGGAUUCGAACUGGUGACCCGACUGGGAAAAAAAAAAAAGAAAAUUGGCAAGUACGAGUUGUUCUUACGGAUUCGAACUGGUUACCCGACUGAAAGCAAGGCAAAUAGACAGGUGCGAGCUUGCUCUUGGAUGCGAACUAGUUACUCCACCGGAGAGAAACGGAUAGACAGGUACAAGCUGCUCUUAGAUUGAGCUAGUCACUUGACCAAACGGAAACAUAUUGACAGGCACAAGCUGCUCUUGGAUUGAGCUGGGCACUCGACCGAUAACAUAAGCAAAUUGAUAGGUACAAGCUGUUCUUGGCCUUGAACUAGCCACUUGACCAAACAGAAACAUAUUCACUGGGGAUUGGUUUGUUUGACAAAAUAUAGAUUGAGAUUGACUUGACGUCGAUUUGAUUUGAAAGGUAGAAAUUGACCGAUAUUAUUGGCUCAUAAGGUUUUGACAGAGAACCUGACAUGAGUAUUGAAUUGAGACUGAUGUUGAUAUUGGAAAUGCGAUAUGCAUGGAUGAUAUAACAGUUUCAUUAAAUGCAUGGGCACGUAAUAUGCAUGAUUAUGCAUGUAUGAAUGCUUGUAAUGCAUGACUGUUGGUAUUUUGUAGGCACGACUUCACGGGGAAGACAAGACAUUAGAGUAUUGGGCACGUAGUGGCUCGUGCUAUAUUACACAUUCUUGGAAAUCCUCUUUGGAGAUGACGUCGUUGGGAGACGUGUCGGAACCAUAGCUGAGGGCAGGUAGAUAUGCAACUUGCUGGAGAUAGAAUCUUGAGAGGCUCCACUGGGGAAAACGCCGUUGUGCUGGGCAUUUCAGUGCUGGGUAUGUUGUAGACAUUGCAUCUGUGGUCAAUGCUUUUUGCAUGUUAUAUUCUCAAUUUCAUUUAUUCAUUUUUUUGCAUCCCAUUUUUGCCUGGAUCGCCCUUUCGGGUUUUCGAUCCACCGGGGAAAUAAAUUCUUUUCAAUGCCCCAUUUUUGCCUGAACUGCCCUUUCGGGUUUUCAAUCCAGCGGGGUGCUCAUUCUUGCCUAAGCCGCCCUUCCGGGUUUUCAACUUAGCGAGCCUUUUCAUUUUCAUGCAUUUUCAUUCUGUUUUUUCAUUCUUGCCAUUGACCACAGACUAUCCUGGAGGAGAACCUGCUUGUAACACAUAUUGAAAUAGACAUCAACAUACUCUCACUCAUGCAUGUUUCAUUUGAAUGUACCCUGUUGCUCAGGUUUGCUUUUCAAAAUAGACAAAAAGUUUUCAAUUUUCAAAAUGUUUGUUUCAAGCAUUGUCAUUAUCAAAAUAGAAAGAAAAUGUUUUGUAUAUAGCUUUGAAAGUAGAAGAAAAAAUAGAGUUUUCAAACAAAAGUAAAGGCUCAAAUUGAUGUAUAAGAGUGGUGGUCAGCCAAAGGCAUGACUCCACGGAUUCACAAAGCUUGGAAAAUGGUAAUUUUAUUGGUUGGUGGUACAUUGAACACAGCAAUCAUUACAUUUCCUGGAAACUUUGAAUUCGCAAGCGUAGGAGCUUUAGAUGAAGAUAGGCAUUAACAGCUGCAGAUGCCCCAAGGGAGACGGUGGUUGACUAGAUAUAGUUACUUGCCUUUUGUUUCAAUCUCAUUUUUGCAUGAACCGCCCUUCCGGGUUUUCGGCUCAUCGAGACGCUCAUUCUUGCCUGAGUUGUGUACAAUCUCAGCGAGCUUUUCAUAUUUGUUUCUUUUUUGUCCCUUAUUUUUGCCUGGACCGCCCUUUCGGGUUUUCGAUCCACCGGGAAGCGCAUUUUUGCCUAGGCCGCCCUUUCGGGUUUUCGACCUACCACGCUGUUCUUUGCAUAUUUCUAGGCAAAGUAUUUCUUAACUAUAUCAGCAUUCACUGGAUUUGGAAGUUCUACACCAUCCAUGUGUGUAAGGAUUAAAGCACCACCGGAGAAGGCUUUCUUGACAACAUAAGGACCUUCAUAGUUAGGCGUCCACUUGCCCCUUGGGUCGGGUUGCUGGCUUAUCCUCCUUUUCAAAACAAGUUCCCCUACCUUGAAUUCUCGAGGAUUGACUUUCUUGUCAAAAGCAGUCUUCAUUCUGGCUUGAUAUGAAUGUCCACGAGCCAUGGCAUCCAUACGUUUUUCCUCAAUCAAAUUCAACUGAUCAUACCGGCUUUGGCACCAUUCAGCCUCAGAUAACUUUGCUUCCAUGAUCACACGGAGAGACGGGAUCUCCACUUCCAAAGGAAGAACUGCUUCCAUACCAUAUACAAGAGAGAAAGGGGUUGCCCCGGUUGAACUGCGCACUGUAGUACGGUAGCCAUGCAGAGCAUAGGGUAACAUCUCAUGCCAGUCCUUGUAAGUAGUUACCAUCUUCUGGACAAUUCUCUUGAUAUUCUUGUUGGCGGCCUCAACUGCACCAUUCAUCUGAGGUCUAUAAGGAGAAGAGUUAUGGUGCUCAAUUUUGAAUUCUUCACAAAGAGCUUGCACCACAUUGUUGUUCAGGUUGGUACCAUUGUCAGUAAUAAUCUUGCUGGGAACACCAUAUCGACAGAUGAUGUUGUUCUUGAUGAACUUAGCUACCACUUGCUUGGUCACAUUGGUAUAAGAUGCUGCUUCAACCCACUUGGUGAAGUAGUCAAUUGCCACUAAGAUGAAACGAUGACCAUUUGAAGCCUUCGGUUCAAUUCUUCCAAUCAUGUCGAUGCCCCACAUUGAGAACGGCCAUGGGGAUGACAUAACAUUGAGAGCGUGCGGAGGCACAUGAAUCUUAUCAGCAUAGAUUUGACAUUUGUGGCAUUUUCUGGCGUACUGGUAGCAAUCAUGCUCCAUGGCCAUCCAAUAGUAACCUGCUCGUAACAACUUCCUUGACAUAGUAUGCCCUGUAGCAUGGGUCCCGAAGGUACCGUCAUGUACAUCAUGCAUUAACUGCUCUGCUUCAUGUUCAUCAACACAUCUUAACAAUACCAUGUCAUAGUUUCUCUUGUACAGAAUAUCUCCAUCUAACAGGAAUCUACUGGCCAAUCUUCUCAAGGUCUUCUUGUCUUGUUUGGAAGCACCCGGCGGAUACUCACGGCUUAGCAAGAACUGUUUGAUGUCGUAGUACCAGGGUCUAUAGUCAACCACAUUUUCACCAGCCUGAUCGAUCACAUCCCCAAUAGCAAACACAUGUGAAGGUCUUUCAAGGCGCUGCACUUUGAUUAAUGGCACAUCAUUCCAAUGGUUCACUCGAAACAUGGAAGAUAGAGUAGCAAGAGCAUCAGCCAUUUGAUUCUCAUCACGAGGAAUAUGGUGCAACUCAACCUUUGUAAAAUAUGUCAGCAAACGCCUCGCAUAAUCACGAUAAGGAAUCAAUUUAGCAUGAUGUGUCUCCCAUUCACCCUUUAUCUGAUUGAUGACGAGCGCGGAAUCUCCAUAGAUGUCGAGGUGUUUGAUUCUCAUGUCAAUUGCUUCCUCGAUCCCGAAGAUACAUGCUUCAUACUCAGCCAUGUUAUUGGUACAUUCGAACAGAAUUCGGGCGGUAAAGGGAAUGUGAUGCCCUUGCGGGGAUACAAUGACUGCCCCAAUUCCUUUGCCAUAAGCAUUGACAGCACCAUCAAAGACUAAACCCCACUUGCUAUUGGGAUCUGGACCUUCAUUAAUCAACGGUUCGUCGCAGUCUUUGGAUUUCAAAUACAUGAUCUCUUCAUCGGGGAAAUCAAACUCAAUUGGUUGGUAAUCAUCAAGAGGUUGGUAGGCAAGAUGAUCGGCAAGAAUGCUACCUUUGAUUGCCUUUUGAGUUUUGAACACAAUAUCAUAUUCUGACAAAAGCAUCUGCCAGCGUGCAAUCUUUCCAGUAACAGCAGCUUUCUCAAAGAUAUACUUUAUCGGAUCCAUUCUGGAUAUCAACCAAGUUGUAUGAUUCACCAAAUAAUGACGCAGGCGUUUGGCAGCCCAAGCUAAAGCACAACAAGUCUUCUCAAGCAUUGUAUACCGAGUUUCACAAUCGGUGAACUUCUUGCUUAGAUAGUAGAUAGCAUGCUCUUUCUUUCCAGUUUCAUCUUGUUGACCAAGCACGCAUCCCAUGGAUUCAUCAAAUACUGCCAAAUACAUGAUCAACGGCCUUCCUUCCACGGGUGGGACAAGGAUAGGUGGUUCCAGCAGGUAAUUCUUGAUGCUAUCAAAAGCUUCUUGGCAUUCAUCAUUCCAUACAACAGGCUGGUUCUUCCUUAGUAGCUUGAAGAUCGGCCCGCAGGUUGCGGUCAUAUGAGAUAUGAAUCGGGAGAUGUAAUUCAAACGUCCCAAGAAACCUCUGACUUGCUUCUCUGUCUGUGGAGCUGGCAUUUCUCGGAUGGCCCGGACUUUAUCAGGAUCGACUUCAAUGCCCUUUUGGCUGACAAUGAAGCCUAAUAACUUCCCGGACCUGACACCGAAUGUACAUUUGUUGGGAUUCAAUCGCAGCUUGUAUUUUCUCAACCUUUCAAACAUCUUUGUUAAAUAUUCAACAUGCUGCUCCUCAUCUGCUGACUUCACAAUCAUAUCAUCCACAUAUACCUCAACUUCUUUGUGAAUCAUGUCAUGAAACAGAGUGGUCAUUCCCCUUUGGUAGGUAGCACCAGCAUUGAUUAGGCCGAACGGCAUCACUUUGUAGCAGAAAGUACCCCAUGGAGUGAUAAAAGAUGUCUUUUCUCUAUCCUCAGGAGACAUUUUGAUUUGAUUAUAACCGGAAAAACCGUCCAUGAAGGAGAACACCUUAGACUGAGCAGUAUUAUCAACAAGCACAUCGAUAUGAGGUAAUGGAAAGUUGUCUUUUGGACUGGCCUUGUUCAGGUCUCUGAAGUCAACACACAUCCGAACUUUACCAUCCUUCUUUGGCACAGGCACAAUAUUGGCAACCCAUUCGGGAUACUCAACUGUCAUGAGGAAACCCGCAUCAAUCUGCUUUUGAACUUCAUUCUUGAUUUUGAGAGCCAUAUCAGGAUGAGUCCUUCUCAAUUUCUGCCUGACGGGAGGACAUUCAGGCUUGGUAGGGAUCCGAUGCUCCACGAUCAUAGGGUCUAGACCUGGCAUAUCUUCAUAGGACCAUGCAAAAAUAUCCGGAUAUUCCCGGAGGAGUUGAAUGAUCUUCUGUUUAACCCCUUCCUCUAGAGUAGCACCAAUCUUGAUUUCUCGCUUGUUUUCCUCGGUACCUAUGUUGAUAAGCUCAAUCUCUUCCUGGUGAGGCUGAAUGGCUUUCUUUUCUUGCUCAAGUAACCGAGUAAUCUCAUACGGUAUGUCAUCACUUUCCUCAUCUUCGGCUUCAUACACAGGGAAUUCAAGAUUUGGAGGAAACGUAGGAUUACUGUGUUCAACGGGUUUAUUGGGGUUCAACCUGCAUAUAAUGAUUGGAUGAUUUUAGAAAGAGUUUUUUUUCAUGCAGAUUUUUGAAAUUAAUAAGAAAAUACAAACGUUUUGGUUUUUUCUGGCAUUACCAUUGUUUCCAAGGGAAAAAGCACUAAAAAAAAAAAAGUAGUCGUGGAAGAAACGACAAAAUUUUAUUAAUCAACGGCAAUGCCGAAACAAACAUGCCCUUACAGAAAAUAUCACUCUCGCUUUGGGCAGAGCGAGAGGAUUGUUAUUUUGAAAACAAAGCAUUAAAGCAACAAGACACAUUACUCAGAAACAUGCAUGAUUGAAGGAAUGUCAAUGGCAUCCCAAUCUCUCGCAAUGCCUCCUGGUGUAACAAAUACAGGCCUGAGACCAGAUCCAGUGGCUUCUUCAGAGAUAGCAUUAACAAACCCUGCACUGUGGAAGACUCCUGAGGAAACCCUUGAUGACGGGGAGAACCCGAGACCUUCCUUACGCUUGUUCUCACAGAGCUGUAUCACCUUGCCCCAACCGGCAGUCUGACCUUCCUGGAUAACCUUCUGAGCAUCUUUCAAUGAAGCCAUAGCAGCCCCAGCUUUCUUAGACUCUGCACCUUCAAUGGUCAAACCUUGGAAAGCAGUCCCUUCAGCAGACCCUGCUUCAAUACAAGAAAAAGAAGACAAUUGGCUGACUAAGUAUGCUUCUUCACCAUGGAUUGUAACGAGUUUUCCAUUCUUCACAAAUUUCAACUUCUGAUGUAAGGUGGAAGUAACCGCACCUGCAUCGUGUAUCCACGGUCUUCCCAGCAGGCAACUGUAGGAUGCAUUAAUGUCCAUCACUUGGAAAGUAACCAAGAAAUUCUCAGGGCCAAUGGUUAUCGGCAAGUCUAUCUCUCCCAGCACAUUCUUUCGAGAUCCAUCAAAAGCUUUGACCAAGAAAGUACUUCUCCUCAACGGGGUCCCAUGGUAGCUCAACUGGUCUAGAGUCGUCUUGGGCAUUACAUUGAGAGAGGAACCGGUAUCCACCAACACAUUUGAUAUCAUGUCUGAUUUACAAUUCACCGAGAUGUGCAAAGCCAGAUUGUGACUCUUUCCCGCUUCCGGCAACUCUUCUUCACUGAACCAGAGGUUGUUACAAGCAGUAAUAUUUCCCACUAUGCCACCGAAACGAUCUACCGUAACUUCGUGGUCAACAUAAGCCUGCUCCAGCACUUUCAACAAAGUAUUCCUGUGAGCCUCAGAGCUUAAGAGUAAUGACAAGACAGAUAUCUUCGAAGGAGUCUGCAGCAACUGAUCAACGAUCUUGUAGUCGCUCCUCUUUAUUAUACUCAGAAUCUCAUCUAAAUUCGAAUCCUCUAUAGAUUUGCCAGGCUGGUUCACAUCUGUAGCAAUGGGUGAGACAACGGUUGGAGUUGCUUCUUCAACUGGUGGAAUGGUCGGUGUAGCUACCUUCUUCUGAAAUAACGGCGGACGAACUUUCCCGCUUCUUAGCGCUGCAGAAGUCCCUUCGGCAAUAUUGCUUACUGUGGCAAAGGAGGCUAGAGGCACCUCUACUCCAUUUUCUAUCAUAGUAGCAUUGUAUUUGUAUGGAACAGCCUUAUCCGAAACAUAAGGAAUUGGUCCUGGCAACCUUAUCACCAAAGGCUCAGCAUUCUUCUUCAAAGGUGUACUCUUGACAGGCGGAUCGUGAAAAACCGGCACAAUCACGCAAACAUCACUGACAGUCAGAAGAUUAUCAUUCAUCAAGCUUUGGAUGUCUUCUUGAACAGUAUAACAACCCAAAGGAUCACGGAGACAUCCCAGACACUUGGCAUGAUCAUGAUUAAACAGAGAAGCUUUGCACAGCUUGAUGUGUAGAGGUACCAGAGGAGUUGCGACGUUGCGGACAUCAAGUCUCGGAGCUUCUUCACACACUUCGAUCAUAUUCACAGCGGCAUGAUUUGGAAGAGGAUUGUCGAGGACGUGUGGGACAUUAUUCUCAAAAGUCAGCUUCCCUUGAUCGAUGAGCUUCUUCACGAUAUACUUCAAAGCAUAACACCCCUCGACAUCAUGACCUAGGGCACCUUGAUGAAAGUCACAUUUGAGAUCAGACCUGAACCUUGGAGGCAACGGAUCAGGUGGUGGCUUGCCCUGUCUAGUCGUACAAUGCCCUCUCUGGAGUAAAGUUGGAAGAAGUUCAGCAUAUAACAUCGGUAUCGGAGGGAAAGUAGGCCUAGCUUGCUGAUUUUGUUGUUGUUGUUGAACCGGCAUCUGCUGUUUCAUCUGUUGGGCAAUCGCAUUGACGGGCACUUGAGGCUGGCCCGGCGGCAAAGGGUACUGAUGAUAAAACGGUGGGAAGAACGGAUGCUGAGAAUACGGCAUAUAUGGGUAUGACGGAGGCAUUUGAGCUGCAUUGAUAGGAGCAACAGUAGCCAUUGAUUGACCGGCUCCAGCUGACACCAUCCCCACUUCCGUUUCUUUCUUCUUGUGGUGUCUAUUACCGUACCUUUUCGAUGCACUCGUAGAAGAUUCAGCUUUCUCAAACACAAUGAUUCCAUCCCUGACUGCUUCCUCAAGACGGGUCCCCAUAGUGACCAUCUCCGAAAAGUUGUUCGGGGCAGCGAUGAUCAUCCUCUCAACAUAAUCUUUCUUCAAGGUCUUUAAGAAUGUCUGGGUCAUUUCUUCCUCAUCUAAAGCAGGAGUGAUACGGGCAGCCGCCCCUCUCCACCUUUGCGCAUAUUCACGGAAACUUUCCUCCUUCUUCUGAGAUAGGGACCUGAGAAACUCCCUAUUUGGCCUCAGUCGAGUGUUAAACCCAUAAUGGCUCUUGAAAGCGGUGGCUAACUCAUCAAAGGUAUGGAUGUCAUUCUUACUCAAACUAGUAUACCACUCUGCGGCAUCCUCCAUCAGACUAUCCUGAAAACAGUGGAUCAUAAGGGAAUCAUUGUCUUUGUAAUUGCCCAUCUUCCGGACGUAUUUGAUGAUGUGAUUUUGAGGACAAGUCAGCCCGUUGUACCGGUCGAAGUCCGGAAUCUUGAACUUUUUAGGAACAUCCACUUUUGACACUAAGCAAAGGUCUUGAGUUUUGACAGAGUCUGCAUUCCCUCGAUUGGCCUGGAUCUCGUGACGGAGUUCUUUAGCAAGUUCCUCCAUCAUCUCUUCCAUAGUCUUGGUUACGGGGAUGCUUCUGUGCUGUGUGUUGAUGUUAAUACCUUGAGGCAGAGUGUGUACCAGAGGCUCAGUGACAGCUGCUGUUGUUUGUGGCAAAGUAGCAAUGAUGGAGGCGGCAUUUGUUGCAGGGAUCAGAACAUUGUUAGCAGUGCCCGAGGUGCUUGCUGUAGCAACGGGAGUGAAGAAUGGUGGAAGCCCAUACGGAAACCCCACUGGCAUAGUAAAGCGAUUGUCUGCAGAAGUGGUAGGGAGCACGCUUGUAGUUACUGGUGCAGCUGUGGUUGUAGGGAUAGCUGUAGCUGAUUGCUCUUGAGCAGCUAGUAGAGCAGUCAUGACGUCAUUAGCUUUAGCCAAUUCCUCCUUUAGAGAGGCUAACUCGGUGCGAAGCUGAGCGCUCUCUUCUUCCAUAGCCCUUUUCUUUCUUCUGUAUUCUCUGGUUCGAUCAAUUCUAUCUGGUUCGUAAACUCUCUGAGCACGAGCCACUUUUCACACUGUGGCAGAGGAACCAGGAGAUAGUGAGCACUUGGAAGCCUUUGUGACCAAUGCAUGAUGCAUAUGAUGCAUGAUAUGCAAAUGCGAAUGCAAAAGACUUAUUUUUUUCAUCGAAGGAUUUUAAAACAAAUUAGAAAUCUUGCAAAUAAACAAAAUUACACAACAUUUUCAACAAGGUAAACAAAUAGAGCUCUCAAGCAUAGGAAGUAGUCGGAAGAUCAUCGGACUCGGAAUCUGAAUCACAGUAUCUGUCAAAGAAAUCUCGUCGUCCUCGAGCUCUCUUGGAAUCCCUCAUAAGCAGCUCGUCUUUCUCUUCCAACUCCCUCCGGGCUUUAGCUAGUUCUUUCUUCAACAUCAGAUUCUCAUGAGUCUUCUGCUCAUCUCUACCAUCCAAAGUCAUGAUUAGAUUCUCAGCUUGAUUGUACCGAGCUUUCCACACUUGCUUCUCACGACUCUCCAUAGCUAGAUGCUCCUGAUACAUAUCCUGAGUUGCGGGAAGCAAAGGUAGAGGCAUAGAUGGGGUAGAUGAAGACACAUAUCUCAUAGCUGGAUAAGGCAUACCAAUCUCCUCAGCUCGAUCUAUCACCCACUGAGUAUAGGCCUCAUGAGCGACACCGGAUCUCACACCUAGAUGCUUCACACUCUUCCUUCGAACCUUGGACCAAGCGUCUAUGAAAGCUUUCCUUUGUCCGGUGGGAGCAUUCAUGUAGAAGAAGAACUCUGGAGAUGUGGCAAGAUUGAUGGGCUUCGAUUUCAUAGGGAAACCGAACUGUCUCAUAGCAAGCUCGGGGUUGUAGUUGAUUCCUCCACGGGUACCAAGAAGAGGUACAUUGAGAAAGUCUCCGCAACCCAUGAUGAUUUCCUUUACCUGAGCGGCCGGAGUGAGCCAGACGACCUCAUUAGGAGUGAGAGCCAUAAUCCGCUGAGAGUAGGACCAAUUUUCCGAGUUAUCAUGGAAGGAACUCGGAAGGUGCGAAAUAAACCACCUAUACAAAAGAGAUGUGCAGCAAAGAAUAUACCCACGGCCCUUGAGAGUCCUGUCAUGAAUGGCAUGGUAGGUAUCCGCUAGCAAAGUAGGAACCGGGUUCUUGGAAUGAAAGAUCUCGAUAGCAUUCAUGUCCACGAAGUUGUCGAGGUUCGGAAAGAGGAUGAGCCCGUAGAUAAGCAAAGCAAGAAUAGCCUCGAGUGUAUCCUGACGAGUAGUACCGAGAUUAGCCUGAUCAAGAAGAUACUUUGAAGUGAACCCCCGGAUGUGAGACUUGGUAAUAAGAUGGUUGGAGACGUCGGAAGUCUUGAGGUAGAGAUCCUUAGCAAUAACCAGAGGAGUAAGAGAAGUCCCGGGACCGGUGAAAGGCGUCUUCUCGGCUAUAGGUAAACCCACUAGAUUGGAGUAAGCCUCGAGAGUAGGAACCAACUGGAAGUCCGGGAAGGUGAAACAACGGAAGCUUGGAUCAUAAAAUUGCACUAGAGUGUGCACUAGCUUCUCGUCCACAUCGGUUCGGAGCAAAGUAAGCAAUCCCCCAUACCGGAGUCGGAACCCUGUUUGACUCUUGACCUUGAGUGCCAACCCUCUCAAACUGACCAAAUCCACUUCCUUGAACUUGUAGCACUUAGUCUUCUUCAUACCUGUGAUUAUUUACAAAAAUUUCCAUUUGUUUAAACCCUUCGAUGAAUGCAUGAAAAAUGUUUAUGCAUGAAUGCAUGUAUGCAUGAUUGUGUUGUUAAAGAACAAAGUGGGUUGAGUUUCAAAGUAACGGGGCCACGGAUGGACACGGCGUCCGGUGAACUAAGGCUUUGGAUAGUAGUAACCAAGGUUCUAACACAGUUCCCAAACUGCAACCUCUCUCACAUAUAUCAUGGUAGUACAGGACGACACCCGUUCCAUGAUUAUUUGUGAGAAGGUCUAGUUUGAGUGUAGUAUCGCGUGACGACUAAAGUUUGAGACAACACUCAAUUUAGCCACCGCACUACGUCCUAAAAAGGCUAGGAUGGGUUUGGUAACUACGGUUCAUAGCUUCGUCGAACAAUUGAAAGUGAAGUGCCUAAGCAUGACAACACACGCCGACAAUAUCACCUCCAAAAUGCCUCAGCUAUGUGAGAUUGAUCGCAUAAUCCAAUACACGAGGCAACCCCCGGAUCGAAUUGUCGAUUAUAUCUCUACCUAAACAUAAGUUCACUCAGCCCGGGUUAGGACUUUUGAUAUUCUCACCCCACACGUUGAAUGAAAGUAAACAAGUAUUCACAUAUGUAAGCAAUAAAACAAAGUGUAAAUAUAAACUAAGGAAAACUAGGCGCGACCCGCUAAAAAGAGUCCCCAGUGAAGUCGCCAUUUCUGUUAUCAUGGUUUUUGGGUGCCAAGCCAUUAAUUGGACUUGUACCUUUCGACCGUUGAUAUCUCUCUUUUUUCUUGGGAAGGGAAAAAUUGAGAAAAAACCCUUAGAUUCUAAGUUCGGGGGUCGGUUUUACUACGGGAAGGUGUUAGGCACCCGGAGUAACUAUAGUCCUCUAUAGGAGCCGUUUUCCUAAGUUGAUUUCUACGCUUAUUUUUACUUACUUUUGAAAAUGGGAGAUUUAUUUAGUUAAGAAUGAGGGGAGAGAAGUUGUAAGACUUUUUAUCUUUUAGUUGAUUUGAAGAAAAUUUUAAUGUGUUGCUAUUUGAUUUUUAAAGUUUGAAAAUGAUUUUUUGAAGAAGAGAAAGGAGGCCUUAAAGGCUUGAGAAGUAAAAAUGUGAAGUUUGCCCAAUUUUACUUAAUAAAAUAGUCUAAGUCACUUAAGGUUCAUUUAGAAUUUUCUUAAGAAAGUAAAAGGAAACAUCAAAGGAGUGUUGACUCCAAAGUUCAUUUUUAAAAAAAAAGCUAGAAUUAUGGAACUUGGUUUGCUUUAUGAAAAAAAAUAUUUUCUAAGUACUCGCGUUCCCUAAUCAUACAUCUAAACGAAUGUCAUACACCGUGUGUGAGUGUCGGUGCUCGUGUCGGUGUACAUCAAUAGAGUCCAUAGUCCCUUUUACAUUGUCCUAGAUACACUCUACGGUCUUUGCAUGAAAUAUAAAAGAUAACACCUACCUAAAUAUCACAAUUCCGAAUGAAAGUAAAAAAGAAUGCAAAGAAAAUUAAACUAUGUAAAAGAAUGGAAAUGGAAUGCUAAAUGAUAUGUAUGAAGUACCAAAAUAAACUUGUUAGUAAAAAAAAACAUAACAAGUACUAAGAAAUAAAAGCAUGCAAGAUAGCACAAAAAGUUAACAAAAUGACAUUAAACCCUAAAAACUUAGGUAUGAAACCUAAUGCAUUCUUGGCCUCUAAUUCUCAUGCUUUAACAAGUUUGGAAAGAGUUUUCUUUAUCUCAAGUUAUAGCAUGGAAUUAUUGGAAACAUGCAAGCAUGGUUUCAUGCCAUAUUUUCUAGAAUAAACUUGGCAUUUUAUAUCUUUCAAAAUAUGCAUAUAUUGUUCAUAAAAUCAAGCACUCAUGAACCAAAUCAAAACAGCAAAUCAACAUGAAAUUAUAGGCACAAAUCUCUCAUAUUAACACAUCAAGUAGCUUUUAUCACAUAUUCUCACAUCAAGGACAAAUGUGUGAAGAAGAAUCCAUAACAAAUAAUUCAAAGAGAAUUAAAAUGCUAUGAAUUAAUUAUACAAAAAUUUCAUAGAUCCUUAAUGUUCAAAAAUGUCAUAAAAACACUAAGAAAAUAUCAAGAAACAUGUGAUAAUUUUUGGAGAUUUUUUGGAGAAAAUUUUAAGCAUGCAGGGGUUCAAACAGCAAAGAAAUAUGGUGCAAAUAGCAGGAAAACAAACAAAAACGUAAAAGAUCAAAGCCCAAACCAAAGGCCCAAUUCACAAAACUCAGAUUGCACAGGAGACGUUAGAUCGAUCUAGAGGCUGAGAAAGAAAGGAAAAAACCGGAAAUAAACCGGACCGGUUCAAAGCUCUAUAUAAAUGCGUCCAGUCCGGUUUUUUUCAUUUUUUUCUUUUCCUUCUCUCUCUUCUCCCCUCUAGUGAGAGAAGCUCUCACUUCUCUCUAAGAUUCCGGUCAUCUUCUCCGGUUGGCAUGGCUUUUCCGGCGCGGCGGACGGCGGUGGCGCCUCCGCGCCGGAGUUUGAAACUGCUCCGAUUCACAUUUUUUUUACGUUUUUAAACAUCCUUUUUUAUGUGUUACUCGAAUCCGAGCUUAGAUUUUUUUAAAAAAAGUUUGAAUCGGAGUAGAUCUGAGUUUGAACUUCGAUGAAACUUUGGAACAAAAACGGAAAAGGAAAGAGAGAAAGGAGUGAAGAGGAUUACCUCUUUGUUGCUUUUGGCUCACGAACGUGAUUCUUGGUUUUGGCUUGGCUUGUUGCGUUCGAAUCCACUGCUUUCUUCUUCUCCUUGCUCACGACACGUUCGUGCUUGCUUCUGUUGCUUGCGUUGUUUUGCACUGGCUUCCGUUGCUUGCGUUGUUUCGCACUGGCUUCUGUUGCUUGCGUUGUUGCGCGUUUUUCCUCUUCUUCUCCGAUUCGCGUUUUUCGUGAUCGUGCUUGAGUCCGUUGCUAACAGCGAUGGAUUCGCACUGGAAUUGCGAAAGGAACGGUUCGAUGAUGACGAUUCAAGGACGAAUCACUGAGAACUGCAGAGAAAUCUGAGAAAUCUGAGAAAUCUUUGUUGAAUUCUGGUGAAUUUGUGAUGAAUCUGUGUGUUAGGGUUUGGGAUUUUUCUGUGUUCUUGGUGAUUUUCUGUUUUCUGAUCUAACAGAAUAGAGAGAGAAAUUGAGAAAUCUGUUUGUGAUGUGGCAUAUGAUGAAUGGAUCCCCCUAAAAAAUCUGACACUGUUCCCCUUUUAUAUGCUGCCAUGUGUACCUGAACCAAUAAAAAAGUGACAUCUGGACUGGACUAAAAUUUGUGCGAAAAAUUGGACCAAAAUGCCCUUUGGGGCGCCCCUGCAAAAAAAUGAUAAUAAAAGGACUGAAAUGCAAUUUUUAGAAACUUUUGGACUGAAAUGCAAUUUUUAGAAACUUUUGGACUGAAAUGCAAUUUUGGGACCUUAAUUGAGGGACCAAAAUGUAAUAAAAAUAAAAUUUGAAUAAAAAACGCAAUUUGAUCAAACGUAAAGUGAAACCAAAAUAAAAUUGACAAAACGGACUAAAACGAACCAAUGGCCUAAAUGAGGUACUUCAAAGUAACCUCCCUACGCCGAAAUUUUGUGUGAAAUGACCAAAAUGCCCCUAGGGCUAAAAAUGACCUAAACUGACUCAAACAGACUCUGACACUGACUCAGAUGCAAGUUUGAAAUGAAUUUAAACAGGGUUUACUGAUGAAAUGUUAAAAAUGAAUUUGAAAAGACUCAGAGACAGUCACAAGGAUGAAAAUGGGUCCCACUGCAGGAAAUGACCAAAAUACCCUUCUGUAUGACUUUUUGCAAAUUUUGAAAUAAACUGUAGAAAAAGCAAUGUAAUGAUUCAGAGACACUUUUGAAUGACUUACAAGACAAGUAAAGACAUUUUGAAAGGUUUUAUGCAAGAAAAACAGAGGUAAAAAUGUGAUUGAAAACACUGCGUAGCAGAGACAAUUUGAACUGUGCAGUUGAAAUUUGAUAAUUGACAAAGUUUGAAAUGAAAUUGGGCCCAGUAUUUUUAGGUCCAAAAACAGGGUAUAACAACGUUGUUUUCGUGAUAGCCAAGAAAUAGGAUUACCUCCAAAAAAGAUAAGAUAUGCUGAUGUUGAGGUGCGGUCAUCCAUAUUUCCUCCCCAGUCUGCAUCUGUAAAGGCAAGAAGAUUGAAUGAGGAUGGUUUCUUUAAGAGUAUGCCAAAGUUAAUGGUUCCCUUAAUGUAGCGAAGUAGCCGCUUUAAAUGUUGAAGAUGAAGGGAUAUAGGUUUAUGCAUGAAUUGGGAGAGCUUGUUGAUUGCAAAUGAGAGAUCAGGCCGUGUCAGAUUGAGAUACUGAAGGGAGCCAAGAAUUUUUCUGUAGUGUGUGGGGUUAGUGGCGGUGGUGCCAUCAUGAAUGGUGAGGAUAGCUGUUGGUGACAAAGGUGUGGGCGCUGGUUUUGCACCAUCCAUAUCAAAUUUCUCAAGAAUUUCUCUAAUAAAUUUAUGUUGAGAUAAGAACAAUCCUUUGCUUGUGGGAAUUAACUCAAUGCCUAAGAAGUAGUGAGGUGUCCCCAUGUUCUUGAGAGAGAAAGUUUUAGAUAAAGAUUGAAUGAAGUUGUGUAGGAAUUCUGCAUCAUUACCUGUUAACAGCAAAUCAUCAACAUAUACCAAGAAGUAGGCAAUGAUAGCACCAGAAGCAUAUAUGAACAAAGAGGGGUCACUUUUGCUUGUAGUAAAGCCAUGAGAUGUGAUAAAGGCUUUUAGAGCAUCAUGCCAUGCACGAGGUGCUUGCCGAAGACCAUAGAUAGCUUUAUGAAGCUUGCAAACAUGAUUCGGAUACUGUUUAUCUUUUAGUCCUGGAGGUUGACUCAUGUAAACAUCUUCUUUGAGUAAUCCUUGAAGGAACGCAUUGUUAACAUCAAGUUGGUGCAGACGCCACCCUUUCCCCAAUGCUAUGGUGAGAACUAGUUUUAUUGUUUGAGGCCGAACCACCGGAGCAAAAGUCUAUUUGAAGUCAACACCCGGACAUUGAGUGAAACCCUUAGCCACAAGACGUGCUUUGUAUCUAGAAAUAGAGCCAUCAGAGUUUCUUUUGAUGCGAAAUAACCAUUUGCAAUCAACAAUGUUUUGAUGUGAUGGUGGUGGCACAAGUGUCCAUGUGCCAUUUCGAAUUAAGGCAUCAAACUCCUCAGAAAUAGCUUGUCUCCAAUGGGAAUAUUUUAUGGCUUGUCGGAUAUUAGAUGGUUCAAGGUUCUCAGGUAAUGGAUGAACAGAUGCAUGGUAAAGUUUCUUUGUUUUGAAUAUGUUGUUUUGGGAUCUAGUGACCACAUGAUUGCGAUCAUUAGCACCUGCAAUGGGGUUAGGUAGAAUCAUAGGUAGGUUUGAAGUAGAAGAUGUAGUGGGCAGAUUAUUACCUGAUGAAGAACUUGAGUGCAAGGUUGCCUCUUGAGGAUUUGCAACAGAUGUAGAGGUAGUGGUGGUCACAGUUUGUGAAGUAUUAGUUGUAAGUGGUGGUUUAAGAGGUAGGAUGAUGUGUGGUGGAUGUGGGUUGAUGCUUGGUAUUGGUUUGUAGAUAGGUGUCAGUUGUAUUAAGGAUGGGUAGGGAAAAUGGUUGUCAUAGAAGACCACAUGACGGGAUGUGUAUAUUUUGUUUGUUAUGGGAUCCAGGCAGCGAUAGGCAUAUUGAGAUGGUGAGUAACCAACAAAGAUACACGGUUGAGAUUUAGGUUGGAGUUUGUUGCUAUUGUAAGGUCGUAACCAUGGAAAACAUAAGCAACCAAAAGAGUGUAGGUGGGUGAUAUUAUAUGUUUGGUUAUGAAGGGUAUGAUAGGGUGUUUUCAUAUUGAGUGUUGGUGUGGGCAACCUGUUGAUUAGAUAUGCUGCUGUACUAAAUGCAAGCGACCAAAAUUGAGAUGGUAGGUUGGCAUGAUGUAGUAAUGCUCUAGCAGUUUCUACUAUGUGUCUAUGUCUUCGUUCGGCAGAGGAAUUUAGUUCAGGUGUGUGAGGUGGUGUGAUGUAGUGUGAUAUACCAUUGGAGGACAAAUAAGAUUUUAGUUUUAUGAAUUCUCCUCCAUUAUCUGAGUAAAGGGAAGUAAUAGAGAAGUUAAAAUGUUUCUCAACAACAUUUUUAAAUUGAGGAAAUAUAGUGGAGACAUCAGAUUUAUUUUUCAUGGGAAAAAGCCAAAUAUAUUUUGAGAAAUGAUCAACAAAUAUUAGAUAGUAUAAGAAACCAUCUAAGGACCUAACAGGGGCUGGUCCCCAUACAUCAGAGUAAAUAAUCUCAAGAGGCCUAGAGCUGGUAAUACUUGAAAUAGUGAAUGGCAGCUUAUGACUUUUUGAGGUAUUACAAGCGAUGCAUGGUGUGUUGAGACUAUGUUUUAUUUGCAGAAGGGAAAAUAGAUGUCUCAUGGUGCGAUUACACGGAUGUCCUAAAAUAUGAUGCCAAGGUGGAGUAGUGGCGAGUGAAGUUAUGAAGCUGGUGGUGGGUGGCUUUGGAAUGUGGUAGAGACCAUCCUUAUGCAAUCCUUUUAGAAGAGGCUCCCUUGUCUUCAAAUCCUUCACCAAAAAAUAAUCAGAAAAAAAUUCAAUGGAUAUAGGGUUAGUUUUGCAUAAAUGUGAGACAGACAAUAACUUGCAAGUGAUAUUUGGAACAUGAAGAACUUUAUGAAGGUGGAGAGUGCUUCUUUUCAAUGGUAAAAUUAUCUUACCAGUAUGAGUAAUGGGAAGUCCAGUACCAUCACCUAUGGUAAUUUUGUCUGAGCCAUGAUAGGGAGCAGUAAGGUGCAGAUCAUCAAGAGUAUUAGUGAUGUGGUUUGUAGCGCCGGAAUCAAGGAUCCAAUCUGGCUCACCCAUAAAAGGAGUAUGUGUAGCAGAAUGGGCAGAUGGACGUGGUUGAUUUUUGGAUGGAUAACCAUGAAGUUUGUAGCACGUUUUGGAAGUGUGUCCAGAUUUGUCACAGAAUUGACAAGUCGUUUUCUUAGACUGGCCUGGUGAAACAGAUCUGUUGGGUGAAGAGUAAUUUCCAUGAUUAGGUGCAUAGCCCCGUUUGGAAGUAGCUUGUUUACCUCUGUAUGCAGCAUGUGCAGUAAGUACUGGAGCAGAUUCAUCUUCACGUUGCAGAACAUUUUCAUAGUCCAUAAGUAGAUCAUGAAGCUCAACAAAGGCUAUGGGAUUCUCACGCGUACGAAGGGCAGCAGAAACUUCUUUGUACUCAGAUCCAAGCCCAUUGAGAGCAUGAAUAACCAAGUCAUCAUCAUCAACAGGUUUGUUGAUGACAGCAAGCUCAUCAGAGAUUGAUUUAAUACCUUGUAGGUAUUCAGAAACUGAUUUGGAGCCCUUUGUUGUACGAGACAGGCGCUCCUUAAGAUGCAUAAUGCGUGAUCUAGUCUUGCUAGCAAACAUUUUCUUGAGGGUAUCCCAAGCUUGUUGAGAUGUUUUCACAUUGCCAAGAGCAGUUAUGAUGCUCUGAUCGACAGAUGUGAUGAUAGCGUGCAAGAUCAAUUGAUCUUGUCUUGUCCAGUAAUUAAAAUCUGGAUCAGUUUGGGUAGGACACGGUUUUGUGCCAUAGAUGAACCCUUUAAGAUCAUAUCCAAUGAAAAGAGCAUUCAUUUGGACAUUCCAAGCUGGGUAAUUUGUACUUUUGAGUUUAAGUGAAUGUUGGGUAUUGAGGACAGUUACAGUGUUGGUUCCAACCAUGAAACUGCAACCAUUGUUGUUGUUAUUUGUGGAAGAGCUAUUGUUAUUAGUAUUUGCGGAAGACAUGGUGAAAGGGGGGGAAAAAAAAUGCACAGGUUAAGGAUCGUAUGGCUGUUAAGCUAAAAGGCCUCUGAUACCAUAUAGAGAAUAAUAGAGAAUAUAAUGAAAUGUUUUUGAAUUAUUCUGAUAAGUUUCAUUAGCCUCUCUAUUUAUAGUUAGAGAUGACCGAAUACAUUAAAGAGCAAUUAUAUUCUUCAUCUAUACAUGUACUGUACAUAAGACAAUGAAUAAAAUGUACAUCAAUGUAAAUAACUAUAGUCAAACACAAAACUGAAAUCUUCAAUAAUUAUAAUCAAUUGUAGUUAUGUGCAUGUUCUCAUGGUUGACUCCAUGAUGAUUACGUAAUUACUCAAUAUACAAUUCAUCUUGGCUUUAUUCAACGACAAUCCGAUUCAGUGCUCUUAACAUUUAUUCUAGGUCCUGUUUCGUUUCGUGUGAACUUUCGCAGUUGAUCAAGGUGCAUUGUAUGUCUCUUGUUUUGUCCUCCCAAUUCUCGAGUGUUUUUCGCAACUUCUCGAUGAGACCAUGAUUCAUGGCGAGUUCUUGAUUGUUUCUCAAUGUUGCUAGAUCAUGAUUUUUGGUUUUUUUCGAUCGUAAUUCUAAGUUUAUGUAUGAUUCAGAUUCUCGUGACCAAGAUUCAUGCUCGUUCAUGAUUGUUUUGUUCUUGCUUGGAAUUCAUAACUUUUUAUCUUAUUUUGGUAUUUAAUGGUAAAUUUGGCUAGUGCACCAAACCCUUCAAGUAAUAUUGUAGUAAGAUUAACGUCUUCACAUGAAUUGUUGUUUUCGACUCGAUAAUUUACUAAAAUUAUAAUGAAAAAAAGUAAACUGAAGGGAGUUUGCAAGAUUUAUUGACUUGUAAUGAAAACUAAAUAGAUUUGUUGAUUCAGAGUUUUAGCAGUGACUAGGAUCCUCUCUACCUCUUUGUUGGACUAAUGCAUAGCUCUUACCAAUUAAGACCUAAAUACUAUAUAAACGAUAGUUAACCUUGCGGAACGAAUAUCAUUGUUCCUCCAGAUGUCAUAAUAUUCCAUACCAAAUAUAACCUAUAAAACCAUGGACUUAUCCUCCCAUAGGUAAUUGACUCUAGAAUGUCAUGUUGCUCUUCAUGUCUAUUUAAGGGACUUAUGCUCACACAAAUGGAGGAGGCGUUUGAAUGUCAGAUUGCUCCCAGGGUCGAGACUUACAUUCGGACAUGUGCCUUAGAACCUAACCAUCAUACUAUAAGGAUCCCUAAACUAGUUAUAGACGCAUGAGAAAAUUUCAUAUAUGUGACGAUUUCAAUUGGUUUGCGCCUCAACCUCUGUUAGGCUGGUUUAUACGAAAGAAAGAACACAUCCUCCUUCCUUUUCCUCUUGUUUAACAGGAAUUCCAUGAAUUUGGCAUAGAGAAGCUAAUGUCGCAUGUUUCCCUCGGUAAGAUUUUGGAAUGUGUGCUCUCCCUUCUUAUAGAACCCUUAGACUCUUACUACAAAGGAAUCUUCAUUUGAAUCUCAAAUGUCACGAGUUUUGAUGGAAAUGAUUGUUUUUCUACUUGCGCCAUCACAUCCUUCACUAUUCCAUAUGUAUGUUUAAUUGAUCUAUCUACAAGUGUUAACAGGAACGCUUGAUGGCUCCACUUGAACUCUUUCGAUCUUUCUUAGCAUUGAAGAUUGAUAACGACAUCAAGUUAAUGUUUGCACCUAGAUCACAAAGAUUUUCCUAUGGAUAGUUUCCUAAUGAGAAAUGCUUAAUCUCAGCGACAAAUCUUAUCACGAUGUUUCACGAAUGUGGUACCUACAAGCACAGACUUGUAAUUAAUACAACCUUUCUUUUCAAAAUGAUGAGUUUUAUCUCCAUAUUAUUAUUGUGAAGCUGCGUACCUUUUCUUAACAUCUCUGUCUACCGCACUCACCUCCUCUCAUGCCACUAUGAAUCUGCUGAGUGUAUCAAUACUUAUGAAGCUGCAUGCCUUUUCAAAUAUUUCAAUAAGUGAGAAUUUUUUGCCACCAAAAAUAGAAUUGCUCAUAAUAUAUUUGUUAAUUAUAAACUGGUGAUAUAGCUUCACUGAUUCACAUGCUAGCCAUUUGAGUGAGCUACUUGGAAUGAUGGCCAUUUAACAUGAUGGUGGGUUACCUUACAAGAAAAAACAUGACGGUGUUUAUUAAAUUAUUUUUUCAUUUUGAUAAAACACAGUCCUUUUUUCUUAUUUAAUACUAGCCAUAUAGUAGUAGUUAUAUAUAUUGGAAAGAAAUGUAAAAAGAUUGUUUCGUGAAAAUUCGUGUGGAAAGUCUUCGCUACAUAUAGCAUAGAGAGUUAAAAGUUCUUGAAUUAUUUUUCUUUGAAGGUAGCCGUCUUGAAAAGAUGACAUUAUAACUUUUAGUUAGAGCAAUAGGUUCUUCCUUAUUUUAUUUUGAUAUGUUGAUUAGGAUAUGCAAAUAGUAUGUGGUUGUCUUGAGACGCCUCUCUAAAUUUACCAUGUUAUGCCUUUUUACUCUGCUCAUAGUCUUGGAAUGAAAAAAGGCAAAGAUAAACUAGGGUAUAAGUUUCUCUUAUAUUAUUCAUUUUCUUCUAGCAUCAUUAUUAUGCAAUACAUAGGAAGGCAAAUAUGGUGGGCGAGGGGGACCAUUUCCGGUCUGUUCCCGUUGCUUUGCCAUUAUUAGUCAAUACACUCACUCAUACUCAUUCCCUCGUAAUAAGACAGAUAAAAAAAUACACGUGGUAUGGGACAGAGGCUGCUAUUAUCAAGUGCUCCAAUAAUCUCUCAUUCACUUAUCACUCAACUCAUCUUGAAUUUGAAUCUUCAUCUAGAGUCUAGACUCGUACCCUUCAAUAUCAUGACAUUAAAUGCUGUGAGUGAACGUUUCACCAAAGACAAAUUUGGAGGCAUUAUAUUAUUAUUAUAGCUAAAUUACAGCAGAGGUCUUUUAAAUUUGAAGUUUGUAACAGAAAAAUUUUAAGUAAUUUUGAUUAUACGUAAGUUCAUUUAAGUUUAUAAACGUUUUCAAUUUAGUCCUUAUGUUAACCAAAUAUUACAAAAUCAAUGAUGUGACAAUUAAGUGUAUGAUGUGGCAGUUAAGUUUGUAAGCGAUGAACAUUAGGAUGUAAAUUCUCAUCAAAGAAAGAGUUCAAGGAAGUUGUUAUCAAUUAUUUUGUGAAUAAUGGCUUCGAUUUGAGGUUCAUAAAGAAUGACAAGACUUAGGCACUGUAUGGUAAGGCGGCCACAAAACUAGCUUAUAGCUUGUAGCGGAUAGCUUAUAAGCUCGUUUGACCAAAAAAUUAAAGCUUUGUUUGGUAAGCUCUUUUCACCACGAGCUUAUAAACUAUUUUUCAGACGCUAUUCCAAGUAGCAUUUGAGCUUGUAGCCUAUAGCUUAUCAUAUUUUCUUCCACUUUUACCCUUACUAUUUUAUGGGAAAUGUUAACCGGUGCCCCCGAAGCACUGUUUAAGGAAACAAAUAUAGUAAUAUCGCAUUGUAACUUGUGCAAUCAAUUCAUUAAAAGAUUAAAAAGUAUUACUUUUAAUUUUAAACUUUUCUUUUAGGUUCCUUAACCAGUGCCCCAGAGACCCCGGUUAACAAGACCCUUAUUUUAUCUAAAAUCCAUUUUUACCCCUUUAUUAUAAUUUAAUUUAAACCUAUAGUUCCGCAAUAAAUAUGCAUAUCCAUCGUUAUUAUUUAUCUCUCUUGCCUUAUGUUGCUGACAAAAAAUAUAUAUACCUCCGUUGACAAAAAAAGUAUAUAUACCUCGUUAUACUUAAAUAAAAUUUUAGUGAAUAAAAUUUUAUUUACAAUAUAAAAGAUAUAUUAAAUUUAUAAAUUUCAAUUACUUUUUAAAAAAAAAUAUUUGAAUUAAGAAUUCCUGAAUAUUUAAAUGUCAAGUUUAUUUUAGAGUUUUUUUUUUUAGAGUUAAAUAUCAACUUAUAUAAACUUUAUUAUGAAUUAAUAAUAUCCUUUUAUGUCAUUUUACAUUUAUCAGUUAGUUAAACCACUAAUUUUAUCAAACAUUUCAAUUAGCUUAUAAGCUAACAAUCAUCAGUUAUAAGCUAUCAGUCAUCAGUCAUCAGCUAUAAGCUAUCAACUAUCCGUUAUUUUUACCAAACAGAGCCUUAGAGUUGGUUGGAAGGAUGAAUGUCUUUGGAUUGUUUUAUGUUCUAAGAUGUCUAAUGAGAAAGUAUGUCACAUCAUACACUUAACUGUCACAUCAUCAUUUUCGUAACGCUUGGUUAACAAUUAAAAUUUAUUUAUUAUAAAACCUCAAACUUAAAGGAUCACCGAUGUAAUUUAGCGUAUUAAUACUUAUAGCUAUGUUACUGCGUAAGAAAAUUCUAUUCCCACGUUUUUUAUUUUUGCAAGAAUUCCCACAUUUUGUUUGACAACCAUAUUAUUUUGCCGUUACAUGUAUAUAUCGCGAUUAGCAGACGGUCAAACACAAAAGAAAGGUUCCAAUUUCUUCUCAUUCCUCAGCUGCCUCACACACUUAGGUCGUUAGCCUUUGUUGAAAUUCAAUUCCACACUCAUCAAUUAUUAUUGUCCUCAUAUUUAUUGCCCAUACACUUACAACAUUAAUAUUCGUCAUAUCUAUAUAUACCUAAAUGUAUAUCUCAACAUAACAUUAAGUAUAAAAAAUAAAAAUAAAAAUAAACACUAUUAUACAUUCCACCGUCAUUAGAAAACAAAAACAUAUAUAAAACAGAAACAUGGAGUCUUAUUCUGGCUCAUAUUAUUCUUCAUCUAAAUCUUCAUACAUAUCCAAAAACACUAAGAAACCAAAGGGAUCAAUGAAAAAUGAAUACCCUUUUGAAUCCAAAUAUUCUUGUCUUCACUCAGUAAGAAAGUCACCAACAAAGACAUGGAAUAAGAAGGCACCAAUAGCACCAAUGGCACCAACACCUAUCAAAGUAUACAAAGUGGAUCCAAUAAACUUCAAAGAACUUGUUCAGUCCCUCACUUGUGCACCUCAGUUCAUGCCUCCACAGCCUCAUCACAACCUUGACCUUCAAAGCACCACAGACCAUACCACUGCUAAGAAUAUUGUUCCUUCUCUUCCAAUGAAAAAUCUAUCAAGCAGAGACAAUGUUGAAGUGUCCUCUCCAUUAGUGCCGGUGAGCACUACUACUACCAGCUGGUAUCAAUACUUUCAAGCUGAAUAUUUUGGAAAGAAUUAUGAGGAAAAGGAGGUAAUAACACCUAGUUUGUUGGAAAUGAAUUUGUUCUCACCAACUUCUUUUGGUAACUGGUGUUUUGUUCCUCCCAUCAUGAACCCAAGAGUUUGAUCUGUUUGGAAGCUGUUCUUUAGCUAGGUUUUUAGAAUGGAUUCAUUUGAAUUGUACGGGACGUCGAUUAGAAUUUUCAGCUGCUGCGCGUAAACUGUUCUUCUAUAUACAUGUAAUUUUGAGUUCACCAAAUGCCAAAAAGACUAUACAUUCAUUAACUGAUAUUGCAGAUUGCUGUUAUCUUAAACUUAUAUCCAGCAGCUAUGAUACUUGGUUCAUUUUGACAUUGAAUAAUAUGUCUUAUCCAAUUGUACUGAAGAGAUGGUAGAUAGGAAAUUUGGUUGUUUAUGAAAAUGUGUUUAGUUGUUGUUGAUACACAUCGAUAAGUUGUGGUGUCCCGUUAAAUAAGUUGAUGAAUGUCUUGAGAAUUAUCGUAUUAAAUGUAUGUCAAGUGAAAGGAUUACCAUGUGUUGUGAAAUUGUGAAAAACCUGAGUGAUGCUCAUAAUGGUGCUCAUUAUGGAGUGACAUUUGUACCUUAUGACGUACGGUCUAAUGACCACAAGUUGUGUGCAUAUUAUUCAUGAAAUAACAUUUACUAUGUAACGCUCGUGUUAAUGUUGUAAUAUAUUGUAUUUUGGUAAUUUAGAGGUGAUAUAUAGUCUGAAAAUCCAAAAAAAGUACUCUCUCCGUUUCAUAAUACUUGUCCAUUUUAGAGAAUAAUUUUGUUUCACAAUACUUGUCACUUUCAAGUUUCAAUGCAACAUUAAUUAUUGUCUUGUCAAUAAUACCCUUGCAUAUUUAUUGUAGAGAGAAAAAAAUAAAAUGAAAUAAUAAAUGGUUAAGGGUAUUAUAGAAAACACACACAUAUUUUCAUCAAAAAUAACAAAAUUUAUUUGGUUUUUUGGUUACUGCAAUUUCUCCAAAAUGGACAUGUAUUUUGAAACGGAGGGAGUAUGAGGCUUAUAAGCCUUAAGCCACCACCAUGAAUGAAAUAAUACCUGUUAACAAUUUUGUGCACGACAAUAUUAGUCGUUUAAGCUUUGUGCACGAUUAUUAAGGAAAUGAUUAAUUGCGUUGAUUUUAAUGUUAAAAUUAGUAGCAUUUACUAAAACACCCUUAUUGAUUGUAGUUAGUGGAGCAGUUAAGUUCGACGAAAUUCAAUAAAUAAGGGUACAAUGGUGGGAAAAAAAUAAUAAAUGUUGCAUUGGUAUUGUAAAGUGAUAAUUAUUUUAAGAAAAAUAAAAAAUGCUAAAGAGACAAUAAUUAUGAGACGGAUGAAGUAUUUUAUUUUUUACAAGUAGUUCAGUGGUUAGAGCCCACACAUUUUAAAUAUGGAGAAGUUGCAUAUUUUCAUACCUCAACCCCUACAUAUAAUAUACAAUAUCCAUAUCAAAUGAGUUUAGUUCACGGACAUUGCUUAUAUUUUCUCUAGUCUACUUCUGGUUUCAUUAUGCAAUCGAAACGAGGGUCAAUAUGGUGGCUGUGGGGCAGCAUUGCUGGUCUAUCCUCAUUGCGUUGCCAUUCGUUCAUGCUCGUAGUACUAAUUAUCUCUGAAUAAGAACAAACAACACGUGGGAAGGAUAGGGACAGAGGCUGCUAUUAUCAAGUGCUCCAAUAAUCUCUCACUCAUUACUCAACUCAUCUUGAAGUUUUGAAUUUCCAUACUCUCAACCUCCAACACAAUGAUUUAACAAGGACAAAUUUGGUUCAUUAUACCCAAAAAAAAUUAAAAAAGACAAAUUUGGAAUCAAUGUUUUAUUAUUUUUAGCGAGGGACGAAACUAAUAGGGGACCAAGUUGCCUCAUUUACUUUGCUUCAUUUAUUUUUCUACAAUUUGUGAAUGAUGUUAAUUAAGAAUUAGUUGAGAUCGGUAAAUUAAAUUUACAUCGAUCGAUUAAGAGAGUGAUGCGACUUGUGUUGACUCUUGUGAUAUCAAUGACAACAAUGAUAGUAUAAUAUACUUUUCUUGGUAAUUGUGUAUUUUAUAUUUGAAAAGUUAAAAAAAUUGUUCUUUUCAAUGCAAAUUAUAUUUUUCUUUCUACUUUUAACUUCUUAACCGAUGCUCUAAAGACACAAGUUAACAAGACCCUAAAAACAAUUUAGUCAAUAAGAUGGAAGGUGAGUUUCUCAUAAACUACGUGAUUUUUUAUAUUGAAGAUGAGAUUGUUGAAAAAUUUACCUCAAAAAUAAUAAUUGAUGAUUUUAACUCUAAAACAACAAUGACCAUAACUUCAUAAGUAAAACUUAAGAUUUUUUUUUGUUCUUCUGAGUUUAGCUUAAUUAAUAAAGACAUUAUAUAAUAUAUAGAGAGAGGCUAUGGUUUAAAAUUCGAACACCACACUUAUUCAUUUUAAAAAGUAAAUUUGUAGUCAUUGUGUACCUUACCAAAAAAUAACUUAGUUCUUUUUAUAUUUGUUUGCCAAUAGUAGAAUAUAUCUUAUCAUUUUUUAUUGUUCAUUUGAAAAUUUAUUUUUUCUUUACUAAAUUUUACUUUUAAACUUGAUCCCCCUAAGCUUAACUUAUCGCUUUGUCCCCACAUUUAGAUAUUAAGAUUUCGAUCAGUUCAUCUUAUUGAAGUUUGUUUAGAAUCUUACAUUAUUCAGAUUUUCAAACUGUUAAAUAUAUAAAUGUAUUUAAGCACCUUUACUCUUUGAGUUAGCUUUUGAAAUAAGAUUUCAAGUCCAAUUAACAUGAUAUUAAAAUAAGGAUAAGGAUCCCAAUGUGAUAAUUAGGAUUAUAACUAAAUGUAUUUUGGCACCGCCAUCCUUCGAGUUAAUUUUUAUACUGAAAUCCAAAUUCAUUUAACACAUCUACUAAGUCACUGGCUAAGAAAAUUCUAUUCCCACAUUUUUUUAUAUAACCACUUUAUUCUGCCAUUACAUAUAUACCGAUCCGCAGACGGUCAAGACAAAAAGAAAGGUUCCAAUUUCUUCUAAUUCCUCAUAUUCUAUUUAGGUCGUUAGCCUUUGUUGAAAUUCAACUCCACACUCUUGAAUUAUUUAUUUCCUUCAUAUUUAUUGCUCAUACCAUACACUCAAAACCAACAAUCUAUAAAUACCUAAGUAGACAUCACAACAUAAGAGUAAGUAACUAGUUUCUUGAAUCAUAAAUAAUAUUCUAUUUUUAUUACAAAACAGAAACUUCAUGGAAUAUUCAUAUUCUUCAUCUAAAUCUUCAUACAUAUCCAAAAACACUAAGAAACCAAAUGGAUCAAUUAAACAUGAAUGCCCUUGUCAAACUCAUUAUUCUUGGCUUCACUCAGUAAGAAAAUCACCUGUAAAGACAUGGAAUAAGAAGUUACCAAUAGCACCAAUGGCACCAACACCUGCCAAAGUAUACAAAGUGGAUCCAAUAAACUUCAAAGAACUUGUUCAGUCCCUCACUUGUGCACCUCAGUUCAUACCUUCACAGCCUCAUCACAAACUUGAUCUUCAAAGCACCACAAACCAUACCAUUGCCAAUGACAGUGUUCCACCUUCCCUUCCAAUGAAAAACUUCACAAACAAAGACACUGUUGAAGUGUCCCCUCCAUUAGAGCCAG